rnacentral:rRNA from 1 species
CCUACGGGGGGCAGCAGUGAGGAAUAUUGGUCAAUGGACGAGAGUCUGAACCAGCCAAGUAGCGUGAAGGAUGACUGCCCUAUGGGUUGUAAACUUCUUUUAUAUGGGAAUAAAAUGUUCCACGUGUGGGAUUUUGUAUGUACCAUAUGAAUAAGGAUCGGCUAACUCCGUGCCAGCAGCCGCGGUAAUACGGAGGAUCCGAGCGUUAUCCGGAUUUAUUGGGUUUAAAGGGAGCGUAGGUGGAUUGUUAAGUCAGUUGUGAAAGUUUGCGGCUCAACCGUAAAAUUGCAGUUGAAACUGGCAGUCUUGAGUACAGUAGAGGUGGGCGGAAUUCGUGGUGUAGCGGUGAAAUGCUUAGAUAUCACGAAGAACUCCGAUUGCGAAGGCAGUUCACUGGACUGCAACUGACACUGAGGCUCGAAAGUGUGGGUAUCAAACAAGAUUAGAUACCCUAGUAGUC